CAAGAAUCCACUUGGUGGCAGUUCAUUAAUAUUUCAUACUUUCCACUUACAAGGAGAAUUGAUUCAUCCUGAACAGAAUUUAUACAUAACCUGGAUAUCAGGAUAUCUUCUCUGUCUGCAGUGACUUCACAAUGCCUUUUGUCAAUGGCAUUCAGAAUGCCUCAUCUAUCACAAUGGUAACCCACACAUUACCUUGAACGAAGAGACACUUUUAAAGUACAGGAGUGGAUCAGUUAGCUCAAAACUGUAAGAUUACAUCAUAUAUUAUGUACCUCUUCACCCAGAAGCAGCUGGAUUAAUAAAACAUUGGAAGGACCUACUGAAGGCUUACUUCAGCUAAAUCUGCAGCUUGAACAAAUCACUUUGAAAGGAAAUUAUAAGUGACCACAUCUUGAACAUUUAGACUCCAUCAGAGGUCAAAACGAGGCUUGGGACAGAGUUCCAUGACACCUAUUGUUGCAGGAGUCACAGAGGCUUCAGCACUCAGUUCCGCCCUUAUUAUCCAAAAUCUGAUUCAAGACCUCCAAGUAAAGGAAAGAAUGUGAAAAUAAGUAAAAAGAAAAAAAUGACCAGACAUCUGGAGCUCCUCCUGCCACUGCUGAAUCCAUGACAGUGAAAUUCUUGUUCACUACGGUAAUCACAGAGAACGACUAUGCCAUGCCACUUCCAGAUUGCCUCACUUUCGCUAAAAGCCAGCAGAAUACCACGUCGCAUUGGUGAGUAAAUGUGAUCUUUGAUCAAGGCCCUGCAUUCAAAGAGGCCUCCUCAGCGUGGACUCUUCUUUUGUUUGUUGCAGAUAUUAUUCUUGUUGUAACAAUUAUUCUUUCAAUUAAAAAUGGUAAAUUCUCCAUUGUCUGCUUGGCAGGUGAACUCAUAAAUAGGGAAAUACUCCUGUAAGUCUUGGUGAGAAGGGAAUAGAGUGAAGAUCAAGAAGAAAUCAGCCUCAAUUCAGUUGUUCAUGCUUUGAGUAGGGAUCCUUCA
rnacentral:lncRNA from 1 species